GCUUGUGCUACUCUGGCAGUAGGACUGAAGAUCACUGAAGUUAUGGUCCCUUCACCCUUCCACACUGAAAGGCUUCUCUCCAGUGCCAGCACAGACUAGAUAUGAAGAACAGCUCAAGAGACACAGCACUAUCUGAGACUAAGCUACAUAGCUUCCUGCCAAGCAGCUCAGAAACAUGGCCAUGAGGUUGUAAUGUCUUAUGGCUCUGAUGCCAUGCACGUUUAUGUAUCUUUGAUAUUAAAUGGGAUUUUCUAUCUCUGAAGUUUCAA